rnacentral:rRNA from 1 species
CCUACGGGGGGCUGCAGUGGGGAAUCUUGCGCAAUGGGCGUAAGCCUGACGCAGCCAUGCCGCGUGAAUGAUGAAGGUCUAAGGAUGUUAAAUUUUUUUCACCGGGGACGAUAUUGCCGUUACCCGGAGAAGAAGCCCCGGCUAACUUCUUGCCAGCAGCCGCGGUAAUAGGAAGGGGGUUAGCGUUGCCCGGAAUUACUGGGCGUAAAGGGCGCGUAGGCGGACAUUUAAGUCAGGGGUGAAAUCCCAGAGCUCAACUCUGGAACUGCCUUUGAUACUGGGUGUCUUGAGUGUGAGAGAGGUAUGUGGAACUCCGAGUGUAGAGGUGAAAUUCGUAGAUAUUCGGAAGAACACCAGUGGCGAAGGCGACAUACUGGCUCAUUACUGACGCUGAGGCGCGAAAGCGUGGGGAGCAAACAGGAUUAGAUACCCGGGUAGUC